rnacentral:rRNA from 1 species
UAAACUGAAGAGUUUGAUCAUGGCUCAGAUUGAACGCUGGCGGCAGGCCUAACACAUGCAAGUCGAGCGGUAACAGAUCUAGCUUGCUAGAUGCUGACGAGCGGCGGACGGGUGAGUAAUGCAUAGGAAUCUGCCCGAUAGUGGGGGAUAACCUGGGGAAACCCAGGCUAAUACCGCAUACGUCCUACGGGAGAAAGGGGGCUUUUGCUCCCGCUAUUGGAUGAGCCUAUGUCGGAUUAGCUAGUUGGUGAGGUAAAGGCUCACCAAGGCUGCGAUCCGUAGCUGGUCUGAGAGG